rnacentral:rRNA from 1 species
GUGCCAGCCGCCGCGGUAAUACCGGCAGCACGAGUGAUGACCGCUAUUAUUGGGCCUAAAGCGUCCGUAGCUGGCCAUCCAAGUUCAUCGGGAAAUCCGCGCGCUUAACGCGCGGGCGUCCGGUGGAAACUGGAUGGCUUGGGACCGGAAGACCAGAGGGGUACGUCCGGGGUAGGAGUGAAAUCCCGUAAUCCUGGACGGACCACCGGUGGCGAAAGCGCCUCUGGAAGACGGAUCCGACGGUGAGGGACGAAAGCUCGGGUCACGAACCGGAUUAGAAACCCUUGUAGUCC